UUUCACCUCUGUGUUUUUUUUUAGGUAAAACAUCCAUUUCUUUUCCUUUCAAUAAUAAACACUUUCAUCGAUGAAUCCAGAAUGACUAUCUCCCUUGCCUCAUCAUAACCCUCUUCUUAACCUUGUAUUUUUUUUUUCUGAUUGUUCCUGCAGAAACAAGUAGUUUGCUUUGGUUUUCUUUACUCAUUUUUUCAUGUUUUUUUCAAUCUCCCUUUGUUUCUCCUUCUAUUUAAACACCCAUCGAAUCUUACAUGCAACCAAAAUCUCUUAUCUAUGUCUCUUUGCAUCUGCAAAAAACAGUUCUUUCUAUUUCUAAUCGUUUUGAUGCUUUUAAUCCGUGGAGCCGUGUAUUCCAUAUCGGUUGUUUUCUCUGAUCCCGACGUCGCGUCUGACUCACUGGCGGCUCGAUCAUGGUGUUGUGGUAACAGCUAAUGUGAAGACUGAGAAGCUAGCUACAGAUUUGCGUGACCCUUUUCUUGCACAACUGAAGACAUCAAAAGAUCAACUUGCUAAAGAUGGCUACUCGGCUUAUUCUCAAGCUUGAAGAAAGUAACAGUUCCGCUUGGUUCACUAAUGGAACAACUCAAAGUAGGUCUGUAGACUCUGCACUGUUCGAUUUGUGAGCAAUCCGGAUGUCCUUGAACAUAUUUACAGGUUUUAAACUGAGAGAUCAUGCAGAUUAAGGAAGCAAUUGGCAUCCAAACAAUUUUGAAGAGGCAAUAACUGUUGUGUAAGACUAUCUACAAACAAAAAGAGCAGAAGGUACGGAUGCUGUAUUAUAAUGAUUCAAUGUUUUUAUAUGCCAAUAUCUAAGGAUAUGCUUGCCUCUUGGCUCUUGAUCUUACAGUUUAACCAAUAUUUGUUGAGAAUGUGAAUCAGAUAGGAAUGCAGUUCUACAGCUCAACAAGGAGAAAGCCAUUGUCCUCUAUGAGGUUACAUAGAACCAAAAUAGUUUCUAAAAUUAAAAGGAUUUCUUCUCAUAUUUUUCUCUCUUGAGAAAACAAUUAAUUUCUUCUUCUUCUUCUUCUAUCUUUUGACAGCCUGAUUCACACCCGUAGCAACUGUUUACCGCAUCUCAUGAAAAAUAUAUCCUUUUGCAUGAAAGUUAUUUCUUUUAUGUUUGUUUAAGAAACAGAAGAGUUAAGUAUCUGACUGGUAAUGUGGAAUUGUUUACCAGGGUUCAAGUCCUGAUAGUUCUGGAGACAAGGAAUACAGUGUUACAGAAAAAACAAGAACAAAGACAAAGAAAUUUUGAUAUUCUCAGAGUGAAACAUAGCGAGAAGAUGCUAUAAGUGAAAACAAAAACAUAAAAACAGAUGUAUAUCAGAUAUGAAUCACGCAAGGUUCAUGCAGAAAUCAGGAGAAGAGUCAGGGAAAAGAGGAAGAAGAGGACAAGAGAUUGGAGCAAAUAAAGUGAUCCAGAAAGCGAGAGAAAAAAGCUAAGAAGAUCAUGAAUUGUCUUACCAAACAUGGUCAGAGUCACUGCCAGGAUCUUGAUCAUGAAGAAGAAUAUGAUGAGCAAGAACCAGAAUAGCACAGUGAGCUAGUGUAUACACGGGCGGUGUAGCAGGUCAACCUGAGGCACUGAGUCAUCCCGGAAAAACUAAUUUUUGGCACAAGAAGAGAUCGUUCCACCAUGGACAAAAAAAAUUCAGUUUGUGUCUUCGGAUUUGAUGAUAGGCUGCCUCUUACAUCUUUCGCCAAAUAUUUGGAGUAUCACGUUUGAUGCAGGAAGAUUUAAUCUUUUCACAUAUUCUUUCAUUGUUCUGUAACCAGGAAGCUCAUGUCCAGGUGUUCAAGUUUGAAGGAAUCUUUGAGUAGACUUAGCUAUCUCAUGUUCUGCUUCAAGUAUGUCAUAGGUAUGUAUGCUUAAAGUUCAUGGCAUGUGGAAGAAAAGCACGAAUCGGGUCAGUGCUUUGGAAUCAAAGCAAGAGAGGUAAGGGCAACACAACCAAGCAUCGCCGCAAUGAAUGACUCAGAGUUUAUGUUCGUAAAUGCUGCAAUCUUACGAUUGUGAUUAUAGAUUCUAACUUUUUUAAUCUGGGUAAUGAAACCAAUUCCUAAUGUCACACCUGAAAGUAAAAUUGCUGUAAGAGAUUCAUGCAAGUGAAUGUAGGAGCUUUGGUUAAGUUUAUGCUUCAAUCUUAGAAGUGGUUGUUAUGCGUUA